rnacentral:siRNA from 1 species
GGUCCGUAAACUUUGUGGUGUUC